AAAGGGUCCGAGGCCAAGAUGACCAUGCCCUGCAAGAUUUCUAGCUUCUGUGGCUGGUGCCAGGAACAAGUGAAUUCAGCAGUAAGAACCAACUUGGCGUCUGGGAAAUGUCAAUCAAGCACCCCCCUCCCCCUCCAACCACUUUGGUAAACGAUGGGGGCAACCAGCAGGAUCAUUUAAUACAGGGAGGAAGAAGUUAAGUAACUAACAAAGAAACUGGAAUUAAUGGCUGGGGAUCAAGGCCCUUCCCUUGUCUUGUGGUUCAUCUUGGUCUUGGAUCAGUGACAGGAGUUUUGUCCUGACCCUCUCUGGUAGGGGUGGCUAGAAAGUGAAACAGUAGAGACCUCACCGCUGCGGCUCCAGUGACUCGCUGCACUGGUGAGCAGGAUAGAAACCCCCAGGACUUGAAAUCAGGGAACUUCAAUGAACACAGUUAACUCCAAAUAUUUAUGCUGAAGGCAGGGCAGUGGCACCUUAUAGAGUAAUUCAGAGUCAUACACUCGACUGUAGGCAGGGGACAAAGUUGGAGAUGAGGAGGACCUUUCUGCCCCCAAGGGUGGUCAUGCAUUGGAACAGGCACCAAGAGCAAUCGUGGGAUCCUCAUCCUUGGAAGUUUCCAAGAGCAGGUAGACGGAAACUUGGCUGGAGCAGUUUUGUCAGGGAUGAUCCUGCCUUGAGCAGGGCACUGGACUAGAUGAUCCAGCCCUGCUUUCCUGUGAUCCCACUUUGUGAGAUGCUCUGAACACACCUGACAAGCGAAGGUAAUGUAAGAGUGAUGUAGUUGUGAUGGGCCAGAAAUUAUGUGAGGCAGGGAGCUCUUAGGGCAGUAUCUUUUAUUGGCACAACUGCAUAGUUGGGCCAGAGUCAGGCAAGCUUUCAAAUGCAAAACCCUGACAACACGGGCUUGUGUUUACAGCACCUU